UUGGUAAUUAGUUUAACUAAAACAA
rnacentral:tRNA from 2 species